UACAUGGGGUGCAAACGUUGUUCGGAAUUAUUGGGCGUAAAGCGCUUGUAGGCGGCACGUCAAGUCGCGUGUGAAAUCCCCAGGCUUAACCUGGGAAGUGCGCGCGAAACUGACGAGCUUGAGUGCCGGAGAGGGUCGCGGAAUUCCCGGUGUAGAGGUGAAAUUCGUAGAUAUCGGGAGGAACACCAGUGGCGAAGGCGGCGACCUGGACGGACACUGACGCUGAGACGCGAAAGCGUGGGGAGCAAACAGG
rnacentral:rRNA from 1 species